rnacentral:rRNA from 1 species
ACACGGAGGGCGCAAGCGUUGCUCGGAAUCACUGGGCGUAAAGCGGGUGUAGGCGGUCUAGCAAGUCAGAUGUGAAAGCCCACGGCUCAACCGUGGAAGUGCAUCUGAAACUGCUAGACUUGAGUGCCAGAGAGGGAAGUGGAAUUCCUGGUGUAGGGGUGAAAUCCGUAGAUAUCAGGAGGAACACCGGUGGCGAAGGCGACUUCCUGGACGGCCACUGACGCUGAGACCCGAAAGCGUGGGGAGCAAACAGCAUUAGAUACCCUAGUAGUCC